AGGCGAUUUAGUAUUCAAAACGCAUGAAAACUCCUAUAAAAACAAGCAGCUUCCAUCCGUAGGCGAGCACACUGAAGAAGAUGGCUUCUCGACUUGUCUCCAAGCAUAUGCUGAUCGCAAUUAUCUAUGCCAUUUUCCUGGCCUGUCUCUUCUGUUUCGGGGAUGCAAAAUACGUCUGCCAAGGGAAAUGUGAAGAUCUGCCCGACUGCGAUGGCGCUUGCCGACGUUAUGGAUAUAAUGGAGGGAGAUGUCUUGAGCCACUUUACCAAUAUUGUUGCUGCAAUGCCUAAACUCUUAUUUUUGCCUCCGUUAGGUUUCAUCAUUUUGGUUAGUGAAAAGUGAUGUAGUAUGUUAUUUGAAUAAAAAAAAGUUGAAUCAGUUCUUUUCUA